UUUUUUUUUUUUUUUUUUUGAGACUGUCUUUCAUUGCAUAUUGGCCUCUCAUCCCAACAUUUUGGCUGGAUUGGACAGCCAGCAGGCCCCCAGGAUCAUUUGGCCUUUGACUUCUUCUGGCUCUGUGGUUAUAGGUACAUGUCACACACCUGGCUUUUCACACAGGCGUUGUUGAUCUGAACUCACAUCCUUAUGCAUGUACAAUGUGACUCUGCACUGAGCCAUCUUCCAAGCCUCUUGAUUAGCUCUUUGCAUAUGCUAUAGUUUCUGGGAUAAAUUCUGUAUUACCCUAAGUGCUGAAAGGAAGACCCUCCUGAUAACAUGACUAAUUUUAUUCAGUGUACUUGAACCAAUCAAACAGGCUUAUAAAUGUUUAAUACUCUCUGCUCAUCAUAACUUCUCAUUUAAGCAGAGGUAUAAAAUGCACACCGAAGCCUUCCAUACAUGAUUUAUUCAGCAUUUAAUGCUACCUGAACUGUGGCUUUUAUUGUCACUGAGAACUGAGUGUUGACAGAAAUACAGCAUUGAGUUUCUUCUCGUUGUUUGCAAAGUAGCUAACUGUCAUCUUUCCUGAGUGGCCAGAACAAUACGAAUGGGAAUCCUUACGUUAUUAAUUUCAUGUCCGUAUCAUGACCAAGAUUCCCGUGCUUUUGAAGUCUGCUUUAUUCUUAAGAUUUUAGUAACUGUAAGUCUGCCACUGAACCCAUGCUCUCAGGUGUCUUCUCAGUGGAAAACUCCUGUGUCUGUGUGUGGCCUCUGAGGUCACUUUCAUAUUCAUGGCCCUCCAGAUGUCUGUGCAGACCAUCUUUUCACGUGCAUUAUUCAGAAUGGAACCUAUAGGUUUUUCAUGGAAAAAGUUCCAUCUGAUGCCAGAAAUUUAUCAGCAUUUCAAUAAAUUCAAACACAGCUUGCUACUGGUGGAAAUAGGCAUUAAAAGGAAAACUUAAUUACUCUUCCCUCCCUCUCCCCCUCCCUCCUUCCUUUCACGCCAGUCUCCCUUCCUUCCUCUCUUUCCUCUUCCCUCCCCCCGUUUUUUUCUCCCCUGUGAUGGUUUGGGUGAGAAUGGCCCCCGUCGGCUCACAUGUCGAAGUGCUUGAUCCCUGGUUGGCAGAGGCCUUUGAGAAGGGUUAGGAGUGUAGCCUUGAUGGGUGAGGUGUGUCACCAGGGUCAGGCUUUGAGCUUUCAGAAACCCAUGGUUGUGUCUCAAGAUGUAAGCCUUCAGCUGCUGCUCCAGUGUCAUGCCUGCCUGCCUGCCUGCCCUGUGCCACGUUGGACAUGGACUGUAACCCUCUGAAGCUGUAACCCUAAAUAAACUCUUUGUUCUCUGUAAGUUAUCAUGCUGUCCUAUCACAGCGAUCUAAAAGGAAAGAAGGCACCCCUCUUUCUUUCCUUUCCUUACUUCCCCUCUGUCCUCUUCUUGGUUUUGACAAAGUAGGCUACAUACCCAGAACUAUAUCUGCAAGCCUCUUCAUAGGGAUAUGCUGCUGACUUGCUCACUAAAAAUUGAUGGCCAGGGUUGCAAGUCCAGUACUGUACAUUAAAGUACUUGUCUAGAGUGUGCCCAAACCAAAACACCACUCAGCACUUGCCUCUGGAUUUGUCUUUCAGACUCUGGUACUGAAAGUUAGAAACCUGUUUGGCCUUGCUCUCCUCUCCUUCCCCUGACCUCUGUUAUCUUGAGACGUGUCCCCAGUAUGUAGCCCUGACUAGCCUGGGACUAGCUAUGAAGACUAGCCCAGACUAGAACUUACAGGGAUUGUCCUGCCUCUGCUUCCUGAGAGCUGGGAUUACAGAUGUGCACCUCUACAUCUGGCUCUAGGCCCCACACCCCUUUUUCUGUGCAGUACUGAGGCUCAAGCUUAGGUCCUGGUGAGCACGAGGCAACAAACACUGGCCCCAAACCCAGUUCUCUCUCCUGUAGAUCCAUAAAUGCUGAACUCAGAAGAGGGUCAAACUGACCCUUUCACUGAGUUGAGCACACGCACGAAUUAUAGGAAGAAGUUUAAAGUUGAAUAAUGACCAGGAGUCUGAAAGGCUGAGAUGAGGAGGAGAAAGAGCAGACUCCGCAGCCUCACUCGCAGGCCCACUGUACUUUGGGUGGAACAAUGAACUGGCCAGAGUUAGCCUGCCCUGUUGGUGAUUAUCUUGAAUAGAGAGGAUGAGCUCUUUCAUGUGUCCUUUGUAGAAAGUAAAAUUGUCAUUGAUUCCAAUAAUUUAAUAUGAAAAACAUAAGAUACCUAGCAAUUACAAAGUCAGUCUUUAAAAUAGAACUUUAUCUCCAACAAAAUUUUAAAUUAUUCCCUACGUCAUUAAAUAAUUUGAGAGUACAUUUGGGGUUUUUUAUUCCGGGUUGGUCUUUGUGGAACCAUCAUUUUGGUGUCAGAGUGAUCUGCUCAGAAUACCCUCUUCCCUUCCUCUCCUGUUUUCAGGUAAUUAUGUUGUCAGGACCGAGGUAAAACCUUUGAAAACAUUGCUUUCAAGGUGCCAGAGGCAGAGCCUUCAUAAAUGGCUGCAAUUUGCAAACAGUUUGGGAGUUUGAUAAGUUUUUAACAGACCAUGUUGAGUUCAUAGAAUCUGAUUUCUUUGAAGGAAACAAAAAG
rnacentral:lncRNA from 1 species